UACGAAGGGAGCUAGCGUUGUUCGGAAUUACUGGGCGUAAAGCGCACGUAGGCGGAUCGAUCAGUCAGGGGUGAAAUCCCAGGGCUCAACCCUGGAACUGCCUUUGAUACUGUCGAUCUGGAGUAUGGAAGAGGUGAGUGGAAUUCCGAGUGUAGAGGUGAAAUUCGUAGAUAUUCGGAGGAACACCAGUGGCGAAGGCGGCUCACUGGUCCAUUACUGACGCUGAGGUGCGAAAGCGUGGGGAGCAAACAGG
rnacentral:rRNA from 1 species